GUUUGGUUUUCAUUUUGUUUUGUUUUGUUUUCCUGUUUUAAUGGUAUGGGAGGUUCUGCAAAGUUCUGUGUGUGAGUGUCAUAUUUUUCCCUGAAUCUGUUAUAGGUGAGUUGGUGAAAGGGGUUAACUGUAUCCCAAAUACCUAGAAUAAUCGAUUAAUCAUUGCAUCGUUAGUAGCAGCAGCAAUGCUUUGCACCCCUUUAGACAUCUGGUUUUCCAAUGAUUUCUCAAACAGAAUGUAUUUCUUCUUCAAAGGGUUUGAGUGGUGGGGUGUUUUUCUGCAGUCUGGUACUGAUAGGUGUCUGCUCAUGGAGGAAAUAUAGAUCAGGCAUUUGGAUGAAUGUCUUCUUCUCCUUGGGGCCCAUACUGUAGGAUUCAGUUCUCUGAAACUAAGAAGGAUGAUGAAAGGAGAUCUGCUCACUGAAGAGCUUUGGUGCAUUGGGAAGCAGGAUUUUCUGCUUUCCCCAAGAAAAUGACUUCACCCAGUAGUUCAAAGGAAGCCACAUUUCAGGUGAAAUUUCCCCUGGAGCUCACAAAUCCAGCAACACACCAUUCACAGGAGGAAGCCCUGCUUCACACACAGGCUGGAAGGAUGCUUCAAUCCUCAUUAAUGGGUAUCUCUUGAAACUUCAGCAGCAAGUCAGGGUGGCCAAAAGGCUGGGAUGACAAACACACACCUUCUAGAGGUCUCUGAAUGAAGUCCAUAAGGGAAAAGACACUUCAGCCCCGUUAGACCCUGGUCCUGCCUCUUGGAAGGAGGCACUGUUUUGGUUGUCCACACCAGCAUGACAAGCAGCAGAUGCUGAUACUGGGAGGGGAGAACUGAGAAGAGGAAAUAGAAGUGGUGGGAGGGCAACGAAGUGGCAUAUGGAUUGUUCUUCCACAGCUCUGCUGCUGCUCCAGGGAAACACUUUUUCCCAAGGUUUUCUUCUCACUGUGAUUUCUUUCUUCUGAAAGCUCUUCAUUUAGAAAACAGACAAAUUUCUGCCAGCUACAUAAAUAAUUUCCCUCUUGUAAGACCCGGAACUCCAGGGAAUUAUUUAAAAGCAUCCUGUCUCUUACAGGUACAUGCAGAAGUGGCUAUUAGAGUAACAAGAGGAAUAAUAAAAAUGCAAAGAGAAUGUACGUGGUGGAGAACAUCUGUGGAUGACAACUGUAGGCUAAAAACAUUUUUCGGUACCUUGCUAAAGGUUCCAAGCAUCAAGCAUGGUAAAAUGGGAGAAAUACAGAAUUUCUACAAUAGUUUGGAACAGAAAGUAGUGGGCUUCAAGGCAGCGAUCAGGACUUUGUGUAUAGUUGCUGCUGAAAGAAUAUACCUUAAUAUUUUAAAUGUUUUUCUGAACUCAUUCUGUUGGUUCAAGGAAAGAUUACCAAAUUGAGGAGCAUGUGUGUUUUCCUCUGCUUUUAACACAUUUAUCAUUUUAAUGACCCACUGCAGGUUGUUACUACCUGUAUUCCUGGCAGGAACUACCCAACUACCUUGUUGCUGAAAUCCUGCAAAAUUAUUUAACAGGAAAAAAUCCAGCAUAUUUACAAUGAAGAGAAUGAAGAACAACUUUUCCUUGAGGAAUUUACUCAAAUUAGGCUUGCAUACUAUGUGCCAAGAAAAGAAGGAAGAUUCACAUUAGCAUAAAUUGAUGAAAAUCAGGGUAUACUCUUUAUGUGAUACACUGUAAAUGCAAUGCUGGUGGAAAAAUAAGAAAAAAAAAAGUAAAAAGCUCAUUCUUGUAAUUUUUUUCUACUUCAAAUUAGAAAAAAAAAAAAACAAAACAGUUCAUUUUUUCCCCACCAGGGAGUGGAAAUACUUAAAGAGGUGGGGACUUCCUUGUGAAUGUCUAAGCACAGCAUUGGCAUCGAAAGCUGUAUGUUUCUGUGUGUCCAAUAUAUCCAAAAUAUUUUGCUUAGAAAAGGCAGGCAUGUGUUACUAUUUGUAAUGUGCUUCAUGUAAAAAAAAUGUCAAUAAUGAAACAUUCCCUUCGUUGAUCCAGUUUUCACUGAAUCAUUAAAGGCAGGGAACAGAAGAGACAGAGGGAGAUGAGGCAUCACUGAACACAGUAGAUGGAGCAAACUACCAAGAAAUUCAACCCCACAUGUCUGGACUAAGUAGGCAAACUUGAAAAGAAUAAAACCCCCAAACAAUCCAAACAAACAACAUGACUUGGAGGAAAAUCAGAAAAUUAGAAUUAAAUGAAAACAACCCUCAGGCU